rnacentral:rRNA from 1 species
AACGCGAAGAACCUUACCUGGGCUUGAACUGUGGUGGACCGUCCUGGAAACAGGGCCUCUCCUUCGGGAGCCGCCAUAGAGGUGCUGCAUGGCUGUCGUCAGCUCGUGCCGUGAGGUGUUGGGUUAAGUCCCGCAACGAGCGCAACCCUUACUCAUAGUUGCUACCCGCAAGGGAGAACUCUAUGAGGACUGCUCCGGAUAACGGAGAGGAAGGUGGGGAUGAGGUCAAGUCAGCAUGGCCUUUAUGUCCAGGGCCACACACGUGUUACAAUGCGCGCCACAAAGCGUCGCGAACCCGCGAGGGGGAGCUAAUCGCAAAAAAGCGCGCUCAGUUCGGAUUGCAGUCUGCAACUCGACUGCAUGAAGCCGGAAUCGCUAGUAAUGGCGCAUCAGAACGGCGCCGUGAAUACGUUCCCGGGCCUUGUACACACCGGAGUA